UCUCCGUUGAAGUCAACAACCCUAAUCGAAUAUUCAAAAAGAGAUUACAAAAAUGAGACGUAUCCACCAAUCCAAACAAAGGAUAGGCAAGAACUAGACAAUGGCGCUAUGUGGACAACGACUCCCAUUGUUAGGGUAGAGAAACAUGUAUCUUCAGUUCGUCAGUCAGUAUAUUCAUAAUCUUUGCCUCAAUUGAGGAUCUGCUGUAUUCUCAAAUGAACUAAACAAAGGAAGAUCCAACUUUACAAUGCCCAUCUCCAAGGGUCAGGCAUCCCAUGCGUCUCUGCCAAGCCUGCCUCUGAAAAUACCAGAGGGAUUCAAGAGCAAAGUGUUGGCACCCAGGAAUCCCAAGCUAGUUAGAAGAGAGGAUAGGCCCAAAAAACUGACACCGUCUGCUUUUGCACAAGAGAUGUCCCAAUCUACGGAGGAGCGGCUGGCAAAUACACAUGAGAUGCACCCGCCACGCAUUCUAGAGCUGAUAGACAUGAGUGAGACCACUCAC